UUGUUGGAGAGUUUGAUCCUGGCUCAGGAUGAACGCUGGCGGCGUGCUUAACACAUGCAAGUCGAACGGGAUCCAAGGGUGCUUGCACUUUUUGGUGAGAGUGGCGAACGGGUGAGUAACACGUGAGUAACCUGUCCUUUUCUUUGGGAUAAGCACCUGAAAGGGUGUUUAAUACCUUAUGUUCUGUCUGCCUCGCAUGGGGUGGGUGGGAAAGAUUUUUUCGGUGAAGGGUGGGCUCGCGGUCUAUCAGCUUGUUGGUGGGGUGAUGGCUUACCAAGGCUUUGACGGGUAGCCGGCCUGAGAGGGUGGUCGGUCACAUUGGGACUGAGAUACGGCCCAGACUCCUGCGGGAGGCAGCAGUGGGGGAUAUUGCACAAUGGGCGCAAGCCUGAUGCAGCGACGCCGCGUGGGGGAUGAAGGCCUUCGGGUUGUAAACUUCUUUUGCUCUGAACAAGGCAUGCCAAUGGGUGUGUUGAGUGUAGGGGUUGAUUAGCGCCGGCUAACUACGUGCCAGCAGCCGCGGUAAUACGUAGGGCGCGAGCGUUGUCCGGAAUUAUUGGGCGUAAAGGGCUUGUAGGUGGCUGGUUGCGUCUGUCGUGAAAGCUCAUGGCUUAACUGUGGGUUUGCGGUGGGUACGGGCUGGCUUGAGUGCAGUAGGGGAGGCUGGAAUUCCUGGUGUAGCGGUGGAAUGCGCAGAUAUCAGGAGGAAUACCGGUGGCGAAGGCGGGUCUCUGGGCUGUUACUGACACUGAGGAGCGAAAGCAUGGGGAGCGAACAGGAUUAGAUACCCUGGUAGUCCAUGCUGUAAACGGUGGGAACUGGGUGUGGGGGGCUUUUUUGUCUUCUGCGUCGUAGCUAACGCGUUAAGUUCCCCGCCUGGGGAGUACGGUCGCAAGGCUAAAACUCAAAGGAAUUGACGGGGGCCCGCACAAGCGGCGGAGCAUGCGGAUUAAUUCGAUGCAACGCGAAGAACCUUACCAAGGCUUGAC
rnacentral:rRNA from 1 species